CCCCGCCCAGGGACCUGCCGCUCGCGCCUCGGCUGCUGGCCGGGACUUCGCUAGAAGCCGAUUGGCCGUCCGAGUCCAGCCCCCAGGUUCUGCAGAGAGUCGCGGAGGAGCUUGGUGGCUGGUGGCGCUCGCAGGGUUUGUCUCUCAGGGAACCAGGGACGCGCUCCUGCCGUCCUCCUGGGCCAGCGGACCAGCCCUCCCCACCCCCAAGGGAUCCAGGGCUGAAAAGCGCCUGGAAACUCCUCUACCUGAUCCGUCGCGCGCCCUGCGCAUUCUAGGCACUACCCAGGGGUCUUUGCCGGGGACAGAGGGCCUCGGAGGAGAGACUCGUUUAACUCCAGAGACGUAGCCCCUCUACCCACCUACUGGUCGAAAAGCGCCUAAGUAAGGCCAGGGGAUGGGGAAGGCGGCAGCUGCACCAAGACCAGAAGGAAGGAGGGGGCUGAGGAACCGCGCCCAGGUGGUGGAAGGUUUAAAGGUCUUGGUUUCCUAAAGGGGAACAUUUCUACCAGGGAACACAGCAAGAAUCUUCAUUGGACUUUAAGCUACACCACCACCCAGGCACUUUGGGUCUGUGGGGACUGGAAUCGGCCACCCCCAGGUUCCUCAUGCUAAGGACCAGCAGGCAAGAGAAAGAUCUGUCGACGAAAAUAAUCCAUAACCAAUCUGUAAAUGAAAAUUUGGAUCCUGGCGGGGGUAAUUGACUCCUAUCAAGAGGCGGUGGAACUGCUGUUUUACAACUUUCAGUACUGUCUUGUGCAAUUUUGAUGGCAAAUGGAUAAGCACAGCAGGUGCAGCCUGAGAGGAGCAUGGUAAACAGUAACUGGAACUCAUCAGUUUUGAGUGUCUGAGUCACUCCACUUGGUAAAACACUUAAACCUUCAGAGGUGCUAAUCAACAGUGAGGAAAAUCUGGAAUGGACAAGAGACAAGGGAGAGGAUGAAUAUAAGUUGCAGUCUCAAGACCAGCUGUAGGAGCAGAGAGGUUGUAGUUCAUCUUACUAAUCUUCCUUUUAUAAGUUUCCCCCAGGAAAGAGGUCCACCAAUGUACUGAAGGAGCUACUCUCAGAACUCAUAUGAAGAAAGUGGAUCUGAAUGGCACAAGGUCUGGACCAUCCCGGAAGCUAUGCUGCCCUUUCCAGACCACACCUGUCAGCCCUCUUAGAAAUUGCUUCAGCUGAAGAGAGCUGCUUUGCUCAGUCAGGUCCCCUCUGGGCAGCCAGUGUCCACUGACUAAUUGACACCCAAUCCUAUUUUCUUUUGUUCCACAGUUGUUGAUUGCAGGACUCUCUAAUAAACUUCCUAUGUGCUAAUUUCCA